UAACGCGUGAGGAACCUGCCUCAAAGAGGGGGACAACAUUGGAAACGACUGCUAAUACCGCAUAAGCCCACAGCUCGGCAUCGAGCAGAGGGAAAAGGAGUGAUCCGCUUUGAGAUGGCCUCGCGUCCGAUUAGCUAGUUGGUGAGGUAAUGGCCCACCAAGGCGACGAUCGGUAGCCGGACUGAGAGGUUGAACGGCCACAUUGGGACUGAGACACGGCCCAG
rnacentral:rRNA from 1 species